rnacentral:antisense_RNA from 1 species
GCUGCCGCCAUGAUUCUGAGGCCUCCCCAGCCAUGUGCAACUGCGUGUUUACUCCUCUGGGCCCAGUGCCUCCCUCGCUCAAUGGAAGUGACAGCAUCCAACUCACAAGACAAGAGACUCUACAGAAUGACCAAGUGGAGAAGACAUCUAAGUUCUCAGCGGUCUCAGCCGAAUGAGUGAAGACAAACCAGGGACAGAGAUGACUCACAUGGGAAGAGGACCCCACUUUGUUCUGUUCAAUUCUAAGAGGACACAGACCGCUUCAUUCAUUUCAGUUUCCCCAGCACCUGGCUUAACUCUCAAACACGUUAGACAGUUCAUAAGCACUGGCUCUAAUGAACUGGCAUCAAAUUAGGACCUGGUUCAGAAGAGACAAGAGGACUGGAUCUGUUCUAAACAGAUCGUGCAAAGGGGAAAGACACAGACUCAGUGUUUCCGCAGCUUUUAACAUUUCAGUGAGAGGUAAGAAAGCAUGUUGGGAACACAAGCCCGGCUGAUGAAAGUGUCUGAUGCUAACACAUGAACUGUCUUCUGCUGCGCAGGCUAAGGGGCCACAAGCAAGCUACGCCCCAGAGGCACUCCGCAUUCUCUCUGGGUGCACUGGCCCUCGGUCAUGCAAGGCCGCACCAGCCUCCGAGGUGAGCCAGAAGGACACACACCUGUGGACUCGAUGUUCCUGACUUGGGCUCGAUGGCCAGCCCCAGGGUGACUCCACCCGCCAGUGCUUUCUUCAGGCUCUCCUUGACCUCUGUCAGCUCCAGCUCCAGGCUGACUCGCUCUGCCUCCUUCUGCCGGCACUCCUCCUCCAGCUGCUUCAGCUUCUCCUCCAGGAUCGCCUGCGGCUUCCUGCCUGGAAUUCCCAGAAACACCGUUACUCCCACGGCAGGCACAGGUUCUCCAAACAACAGAGAAGGCACCUGGUCCCCGAGAAGAACUUCCACAAAACGUCUGAGGUCAAGCUCCCCUGACUUAGGUCCUCGUUGUGAAACUUAAAUUCAGCAGUUCUCUAAGGGACCAGAGUCCUUCUCCUACCAUUUCCCUUUGCUGCAGCUGUGAGGACUCGGAGCAGGAAAGAGGAGAUGCUGAUUCUCACGAAGGCUGGGAGCUCCUGGCUCUGGGCCUCAAUGUACUCAUUUUAAAACGUGGACCCUAAACGCCACAGUUCCCGAAGCUGCCACCUUCUUGGAGUGUGAACCCUGUCCGCCCCUAACGCUCCACCGAUCCUUCAGUCAUCUUAUUUGCGCCCGAGGCGAUGAAGAGUAGCACAGCUUGCAUCUCUACUGGAUGUGGCACACAUUUCUUUAAAGCACGUUCACUUAUUUUAUUUGAGGUUUGCUGCAGUGACCUAAGAUGCACCCACUGGGCAGAUGAGAACACCAAUCCCAAGAGGUGAACGGACUUGUGCCCAGGGUCUGGGCUGGUGGUGGCCGGCAGGCGAGGUUCUCUUUUUCAAAGCCAAAAGCACCCCUGGCCCUCCUGCAUCUUCACUAUCCUGCAAGCUGGGAACACAGGAGAAAUGCUGCUCCUGUCUUGUUAAACUCCAUGCCCCGUCCCAUUCUCUGGCACAGCCUCCUCCCGUAGGGUCAGCCUCAGGCUGCAGGCCACAUCCUGGGCCUCCUAUAGGGUCAGCCUGACCUGCCCUGCCAACACCUGCCUUCCCUCUUCUAAACUCCAAAAGCAUUUCCCUUCAUCAGAUCAUUGAGGCACAAAGUCCAGCAAGGCUGGAGCUGCUAACCACCUGCUGGGUGUGCGUCAGCUCCUCCCCUCAUGGCAAGCCUGGGUGUGCAUCAGCUCCUCCCCGCAUGGUGAGCCAUGGGGAGGCUGCAGCUUCCUCUCUGGACCGCCCAGGCCUCUGAGGCAUCUGAAGCCCCCGUCCCAGCCCAGGCUAGUACAAUCUCAAUCUAAGGAGCCAGUCUUGCGCAGUCUAAGCACCAGGCUGGAAGGGAGGCCAUGCGUAUGUAAGUUGUGCCGCCCCAGGCUCAGGAGCUGAGCACCAGCUCCCGCCAGCAGGAAUGCACACGCCUGGCCCAGGGGUGCCGCUCUGGCUGCAGACUCAGUUUCUGUGACUGCGCCCCUGACUUUCAGUCCCUCUCUGGUGUCUGUAUUCCACUAGCCUGGCCUCUUCCCUGAUGCAUCCCAAGACAGAUGCUGCCUUGCUCUCGCCUUUUUUCCUUCUCAAGAAACGAAGGGCUGCUUCUACCCUUGUCUGGACUUCUGAAUAUUACUGACCCCUGUGGGCUACCCUCUGUAGAGAAAUCCAGCUGAUCCCUCCUACCCAGUGCCCAGAAUCUACUGCGCCCUGCAGAUACAGGGGCCAUCCUCCAGACAAUCUCUGUUGUCAACGCCAGAAGCUGGAACAGGUGCCCCAGCACCUCCCCUGCCUUGGUGAGCAGCGUGUGGGUCCGGCCCUGGCCUCUGCCUGCACGUCACAUGUUUGACCACAUGGGCACCUGCCCUGGAGUUACCAGCAAUGCUUCCAAGCUCCAAGAAACACUGUGAAAUAACCCACUCUUACUACAUAAAAUGACAGCCUCGGUGAGCAAUAGGUCCUUUGGGCAAAGCAGAAUGAAAUCUCCAGUCUCUAAUACAAACAUGCACCCUGGGCAGUCACCCGCACCCUUCAUACCGGCGUUCACUUCAAUGGCCGCUCGAAGGUCUUUUCUUUCCUUGCGGAGCUGGGCCAGCCUAUUCCGCAGGGCCUCUUUCCUCUUCAGCAGCUCCUCUUCUUUGGUCUGUAGCCGCUUGGCAUCUGCUUCUACCCGGUUCUUGCCAUACUUGUACUGGGCAGCAUCUUGAGAAGGAAAAAAAAAGCAGCAAUUAAAAAUUAAGUUUACUAGCCUGGGAAACAUGGGAUGAUCCUUUCUCUAUAAAAAAUACAAAAUUAGCCAGGCAUGGUGGCACAUGCCUGUAGGCCCAGCUACUCAGGAGGCUGAGGUGGGAGAAUCACUUGAGCUUGGGAGUUUGAGGCUACAGUGAGCUGUGAUCCUGCCACUCUGCUCCAGCCUGGAUGACAGUGAGACCCCAUGUCAAAAAAAAAAUUAGGUUUAUUCAAGCAGAUAAUGGGGUAACUCAAAAAGCCUGUUGAAUCAGCCAACUCGGUAAACAAACGCAAAGCCAGUUAUUUCGCUAAUUCAACAAGAAAAAGGACAGGGCUGGUGUGAACCAAGCAGAAAAGUGACUAGUUCAAAUUCUCCAAUAUUCUUUCAAUCAAAUUUUUAAAAACAAACACAGUAUUAGGAAAUUCCUUUAAUUCACUUCCCUUUGAGGCACAUGGCUUAUAAUUAGUCUGCAGCAAGGUGCAGUGUGAACAUUCUAUGAUCGGAAAAGACAGGAGUCUAUUACUAUCAAAAAUAAUGUCCGAAGUUUGCUUCCUUCUCUACGUCUUCAAAUACUUCCAUAACACCGCGGUAUCUGCUCCUUACGGCCACAUCAUCUGACUGGCUCUGAAUUGCUGCUACACCCCCAGCACUGAGAUCAGCACCCGGCACGGAGUGUGGCAUAAUAAAUGCUUGUUUAGUGAAUGAAUGAACAACGGAUACAUGAAGAGGAACCAGGAGCGGUACCUGGAGCCUGACUGUCUAGGAAAGAGUCCCAGCUUACACUUCUAGCUGCAUGACCUGGAACAGGGCACGAAUCCCUCUGUGCCUCAGUUUCCCUCAUCUGUGAAACGGGGAUAGUAAGAGCAGGUAAUUCAAAUGAGUGGUUAUGAGGAUUAAAUAUUUAUAAAGCACUUAGAACAAACACAAAUGGGCAAUACAUAAAUGCUUAUUUCAUAAAAUGAAUAAAUGAAGAGGAAACUAGCUGUAGGGAAAAUUUACAGACUUGGCAACAUCACAUCACCAGUGAAAACAGCUUUCAAAACCUGACCCCACACUCUCCUCCUCUUAUUAUGUUGGCUUUUCAAUAACAGUAAGUUAGGACACCACCUCCUUGUUAAGACACAUGGAAGAGAUGAAGGUUCUAACAAAACUCGGAUGGAGGAUCACCGAUUUCAAAGCUUCCGUGAUCUCCCAGCUGCUUCUAACAAUCACUCACGCCUGAUGGCAACUCCCAGGCCUUCCUGACUGCACGCCCCACAUGUCUGACUCCCUAGUGAGGCUAGAAACUACUUCAGGUAGAAGCCACAGGGGUGGCAUCAUGAUUCAGAAUAAAAACACUGGACUCAGAGAGGUGGCUAGAAACCCACACUCCACCCUCCCUUGCUACAUGACUCUGCAAGCACCCUCCGGAGAAGCUCAGCUUCACCCUCUCUAAAGCGGAAACGAGAAGGAAUCCUGUGUGUGUGCACGUGUGUGCGUGCGUGUGUGCAUGUGCGUGUUUUAAAUGAGAUAUGUGUGUGUGUGUUUUAAAUUAGAACGUUAUAUCUGAAAAAAAUCUAACAAAAUGAUACGACGCCUGAUGUAGUGGACAUUCACUGACAAUUCUUAGCAUAUCAGCGACAAGCAAUUCCCAGAGCCUUGUCCACUCAGGGAUAGCAGGGAGCCAUUUCUAGCACCUGUCCUAAAUGCUGGAUUUGCCAAUUCUUGCAAUGUAAGCCAUCAUGAUUUCAAUGAAAUACUGCAUUUAUGAAGGCAUAAAAAGUGAUCACUCCCCAGUCAAUUUUCCCCUAAUCAAAAGAAACACAGAGAAUGACAGCAAAAGGGUCGGCAGCCUGAGGAGAGGCGAAGCAUUCGACAAUCUGAAACAAAAGGAUCGCUGUUUGCAGCUAAGGUAACAACGUAUUUUGCAAACAGGGCCAAGUCCAAACUCUACUCACUUAUUUCUAAAUUAAGCUGUUUCCCCAAUGAACUCAAUGCAAUAACCUAUAAAUUUCCACAUCUUUUGGUCCCCAUGUAAUAAAUCCCAUCUAAUCUAUAAUGCAACUGGCUGGAUUCAGCAAAAACACGGAAUGCCAUUACUUUUCUCUUUUGUCACCAUUAGAUGUCACCACAGUUAAUAAAAACUCCCUACAGAAGAUCUCAUAAAAUAAAGGAAUAAAUCAUCUAGGAAAUAAAGUCAGCACAGGUACUGACAGAGAAACACUACAGCGACUGAGACUCCGCGGGGUUUGCAUUUUGCUUGUAACAAAGCUUUCCAGGUGCGAGCUGCUCCUCUCCCCGACCUGCCCCUCCCGAAAGAAACAACACUAAAAGAGGUGAAAGUAAAUACACCCGAUACAUUCAGGAAAUAAGAUUUGCCAGAUAAGGUCAAAGGAAGUUAGUACAUUAAACAAAUGGUGGUAGGAGGGAGGAUUUGGCCCAACUGGCUCCAACCUAUCUGUUCAACAUGUUGGGUAGAACAGAGGUGGAGAAAAGCUUAGAUCAGGGAUGUACACACUUCCUUGGGGUAGACACAGCCUGGUCCUGCGGAGCGAUUUCAAGCCUCGUUCACGAACAUGGCCGAGGACACUGCCAGCCUCUCCAUUCCCCUACGUGGAUGCUCCGACUCCAAAAACGGAACCACAGGGCAAAUGGAUGUUGGCACGUGUCGGUAUGGGAGGCUCUCUCUUCGACAGCUGGCGUGGGGGUUACCAACUGGGACUAGCCGGCCUCAUCUUCAUUAGCACAGAGACUGGCUACCAGUUGCACAGAUUCAGAUUUGAAAAUCUCAGGUACAAAUCCCAAGUGGCGAUGGCAUGUAACCACAUCAAACUCAAUAUCUGCACCUAACUCCCACCUUCUUCCUCUGGGAAAUCUUCCUGGACAUGCCCGGAUGGACUCAGGAGCCCCUCACCUGUCAAUCCCCACACUGCGGCCCUGCAUGUGUGGGUCCGUUGGACCACUUUGGUGUAUCUUUGAGUCCCCGGAGUGAAAAAAUGCUGCCUGGCUGGCUCCCUGAUUAGACAUCCAACAUAAUGAGGGCUAAUGCAAAUACAAACACUUAAGAGAUGACAUAUCGCCCUAGAUGGAUCUACCGGAGGGAAGGGAAGAGGGUGCUGAGUCCAGGCAGGCUGAGUCUCUCAUGUCUUCAUGCUUCUCUGCCCAAUCUAUUGCCGGCUGUAUGUGGAGUUUGAAAGCCUGGAACCCACUCUGGCUCUGUGAUUUACCAGCUGUGAGCCUUGGGGGAGCUGCUUACUCUCUUGGUGAUUCUUUUCUCAUUUCUAUGAUGGGGUAGAGGAUAAUGCCUACGCUUACAAAGUGGCUGUGGGAAGUAAACGGGAUGGGAUAAGAAUGGCUUGCUGUAGACCACAGGCACCGCAGGAUAACCAUUCCUCAGAACUCCUCAUACUGCUCUAGUGCUUGGAGGUCUGUGUAUUACCUCAGUUAUUGCAACUGCACCAACCACAGGAGCCAUGUGUCUACGUCUGACAGAUAAAGAUGCUGAGUUUAGAGUUUGCAAGGCUUGACAACCACAGAUCAGGGACAGGAGCUGAGGUCUCCUGACCUGGAGCCCAGGGCCACCCAGAGCUGCAAGCAACCUGUACUCACAACUGCCUCCUAUUUUAAAAUGCUGAGUCGAUCCCACAGGCAGCACACCAGUUCUGGGCUUCAAUUUACAAGCACAGUCAGAAAAGCUGGGUUGAAAUCGCCACUGUCCUUCCAUGUGGCCAAUGAGGAAGGAUGACGGUGCCCACCACUCCAUCUCUCCAGCUGACCCCAAGCUGGCAGUCACGGGUGGGCAGGCUCAGACAGGCCCAGCUCCACCAAGUGCACUUGAAGCCAGAAUGCAAGACAUCCGAUGGUAUACUUACUCGAACCCGUCCUUUUCACACCAGCCGCGGGAUCUGCUUUUUUUGGCUGACUGCUCAGAGUCUUCCCUUUUCCUGUGACCCCAUUAGACGCCAUAGGGGGCUUUUUACCCUUGAGCUGUUGAAAUAAACAUAUAAGAACAUUAAAAAUAAACACAGAGUGGAACAAA